CCUACGGGUGGCUGCAGUCGAGAAUCAUUGACAAUGGGGGCAACUCUGAUGCUGCCACGCCGCGUGGAGGAAUGAAGGCCUUCGGGUUGUAAACCUCUGUCAUGAGGGAGCAAAUUAAAACAAUUGUACCUCAUUAGGAAGACACUGCUAACUAUGAUCCAGCAACCCCGGUAAUACAGAGGUCUCAAGCGUUGUGCGGCUUCACUGGGCGUAAAGCAUGCGUAGGCGGUGUGGUAAGUCGUGUGUGAAAGGGGGGGGCUCAACCGGAGGAGGGCACAUGAUACUGGGAGACUUGAGUAAAGGAGGGGUAGGCGGAAUUCGUGGUGUAGCAGUGAAAUGCGUAGAUAUCGCGAAGAACACUGGUGGCGAAGGCAGGUUACUGGACAGCAACUGACACUGAGGCACGAAGGUGAGGGGAUCGAAAGGGAUUAGAUACCCUUGUAGUC
rnacentral:rRNA from 1 species